rnacentral:rRNA from 1 species
AAACCGCUUUCAGCAGGGAAGAAGCGAAAGUGACGGUACCUGCAGAAGAAGCACCGGCUAACUAUGUGCCAGCAGCCGCGGUAAUACAUAGGGUGCAAGCGUUGUCCGGAAUUAUUGGGCGUAAAGAGCUCGUAGGUGGUUCGUCACGUCGGAUGUGAAACUCUGGGGCUUAACCCCAGACCUGCAUUCGAUACGGGCGAGCUUGAGUAUGGUAGGGGAGUCUGGAAUUCCUGGUGUAGCGGUGGAAUGCGCAGAUAUCAGGAGGAACACCAAUGGCGAAGGCAGGACUCUGGGCCAUUACUGACACUGAGGAGCGAAAGCGUGGGGAGCGAACAGGAUUAGAUACCCUGGUAGUCCACGCCGUAAACGGUGGGCACUAGUUGUGGGGACCUUCCACGGUCUCUGCGACGCAGCUAACGCAUUAAGUGCCCCGCCUGGGGAGUACGAUCGCAAGAUUAAAACUCAAAUGAA